rnacentral:piRNA from 1 species
UCAGAAAUCAUUUCAAGAUGAGUCAGAGUG